rnacentral:rRNA from 1 species
GGCGGCGUGCCUAACACAUGCAAGUCGUACGAGAAAGUUGGCUUCGGCCGAUGAGUAAAGUGGCGCACGGGUGAGUAAUGCGUGGAUAAUCUGCCCUUUAGUUGGGAAUAACGUACCGAAAGGUGCGCUAAUACCUGAUAAUACUGCAUAACUACUGUUGUGUAGUCAAAGAAGGCCUCUGUUUACAAGCUUUUGCUGAAGGAUGAGUCCGCGUACCAUUAGCUGGUUGGUGGGGUAAUGGCCUACCAAGGCUACGAUGGUUAGCUGGUCUGAGAGGAUGAUCAGCCACACUGGAACUGAGACACGGUCCAGACUCCUACGGGAGGCAGUAGUGAGGAAUAUUGCGCAAUGGGGGCAACCCUGACGCAGCAACGCCGCGUGAGUGAGGAAGGUUUUCGGACCGUAAAGCUCUGUCGAGCGGGAAGAAAUGUAUCAUGGCUAAUAUCCAUGAUACUUGACGGUACCGCUAAAGGAAGCACCGGCUAACUCCGUG